AGUGAACGCUGGCGGUAGGCCUAAUACAUGCAAGUCGAGCGACAGCACAGUGAGCUUUUUCUUUUACGGUUGGCGACGGACGGACGAGUAAACGUGACUAAGCUAUCUAUUUGAUUGGGGUGACUUAGGGAGGCCGGAUCUCGUAACUACUGCUUUCUUGAUCCGGGUGAAUCCAUGGUAUCUGCCGACCUUGCUCUAAUUUAUAGAUCGAUGUCGGAUUAGCUAGUUGGCUGGGUAAGGGCCCACCAAGGCGACGAUCCGUAGCUGGUCUGAGAGGGUGAUCAGCCACACUGGAACUGAGACACGGUCCAGACUCCUACGGGAGGCAGCAGUGGGGAAUAUUCGACAAUGGGCGAAAGCCUGAUCCAGCAAUACCGCGUGGGUGAAGAAGGUCUUCGGGUUGUAAAGCCCUUUUGUUGGGAAAGAAAAGAAGCAGGUUAAUACCCCGAUGUUCUGACGGUACCCAAAGAAUAAGCACCGGCUAACUUCGUG
rnacentral:rRNA from 1 species